rnacentral:pre_miRNA from 1 species
GAUUUCAACUGAAAAAGUCAUCAACAUCAAAGUUGUAAAACUCAUCAAGAUCUACAACUUUUAUUUGGGUCAUUUCUUCAUCCGAUAAAGAGGUUUGUAACACUUUUCACAAAAUGUACAUAUCUCUCAUUUAGUUUGUAAGUUAUAGGAGAGAUAUGUUAAUUUUAUGAACAAUGUUACUACUAUUUUGUCGGAUGAAGAAAUGACCAAAAUAAAAUUUAUAGAUAUUGAUGAGUCAAACAACUUUGUUGUUGACGACUUUUUCUGUUGAAAUC